rnacentral:rRNA from 1 species
UGGUAUUGAUUGGUGCUUGCAUCAUGAUUUACAUUUGAGUGAGUGGCGAACUGGUGAGUAACACGUGGGAAACCUGCCCAGAAGCGGGGGAUAACACCUGGAAACAGAUGCUAAUACCGCAUAACAACUUGGACCGCAUGGUCCGAGUUUGAAAGAUGGCUUCGGCUAUCACUUUUGGAUGGUCCCGCGGCGUAUUAGCUAGAUGGUGGGGUAACGGCUCACCAUGGCAAUGAUACGUAGCCGACCUGAGAGGGUAAUCGGCCACAUUGGGACUGAGACACGGCCCAAACUCCUACGGGAGGCAGCAGUAGGGAAUCUUCCACAAUGGACGAAAGUCUGAUGGAGCAACGCCGCGUGAGUGAAGAAGGGUUUCGGCUCGUAAAACUCUGUUGUUAAAGAAGAACAUAUCUGAGAGUAACUGUUCAGGUAUUGACGGUAUUUAACCAGAAAGCCACGGCUAACUACGUGCCAGCAGCCGCGGUAAUACGUAGGUGGCAAGCGUUGUCCGGAUUUAUUGGGCGUAAAGCGAGCGCAGGCGGUUUUUUAAGUCUGAUGUGAAAGCCUUCGGCUCAACCGAAGAAGUGCAUCGGAAACUGGGAAACUUGAGUGCAGAAGAGGACAGUGGAACUCCAUGUGUAGCGGUGAAAUGCGUAGAUAUAUGGAAGAACACCAGUGGCGAAG